UUGCAUAAAAUGUAGAUAGUGUAGAAGAAAGUAGUGAUAGACAAUGUGACUUAUUUUACUUUGCGUAUGUAUUAAAAUUUCUUUUUUAUUUCAGUAUGUUCUUUAAUCAUGGUCUCAAUACUGCAUUUAUUGGCUACUUUGGUGUCGUGGAUAUUCAUGAUAUUGGUUUCGAUAGCCAGUGUGGCAGGAACAGCAUUAUUAUGGUACACAUACUAUGAACUAAAGAAUAAGCACAAGACCUUUGAAACUGCGUAUUUGGCUGAAUCUCUAAAGAACGAGAGCGCGUUUUUGUGGUAUUCAAUUAUAGCCACAAUAAUUACGGUGAUUUUACUCCUGCUUGUGUUUGUGAUGCGCUCGCGCGUAUCAUUCUUGGCGGCUCUCUUCAGAGAGACUGCUCACUGCCUCGGCUCCAUUCCUGCUCUUUUCCUACAACCUAUAAUAACAUUCUUCAUCCUUGUGCUAUUUUUAGCAUUUUGGUCCAUUGUUGUGGUCUGCCUGGCUACAGCGAAUUAUCCCGGUAUACCACUGCAGACAAACUUCUUAAUCAAUGGAUCUACUACAACGGAGUUUGGUUCCCUUAAUAAACCAGCCAUUGAUACACACAAUGGCAACUCCACUUUGAAAACUUUCGCCCUGGAUAAUAUUCAGUUCGACCCAAUGUGGGUGAAGAGUAUGUGGUGGAUAUGUUUGAUCUGCCUCGUGUGGGGCAGUGAGUUCAUCCUCGGCUGCCAACAGAUGACCAUCGCUGGAGCUGUCUCUCAUUGGUAUUUCAGGGGACCAAACGCAAACUCGCCAGUCUUAUAUUCAAUUGGCAAGCUUAUCAAGUACCAUCUGGGUUCUGUCGCCAAAGGAUCUUUCCUUAUUACACUGUUCAAGAUACCUCGCCUUAUUUUGACUUAUUUGCAUGCCAAGUUAUCGGCUAGAGCAGAGAAGGGUUCGGAAUGCGCUAAAUGUGGUCUCAAGUGUGGUAUUUGCUGCUUCUACUGUCUUGAAAAGUUCAUUCGCUAUCUGAAUCACAACGCUUACACUAUAAUUACCAUUGAGAGGUGCCACUUCUGUAAAGCGGCUGGAAAGGCAUUCAGCACAAUAGUAAACAACGCACUGCAAGUGGCGACUAUUAACAGUGUGGGCGACUUCAUCUUGUUCCUUGGCAAGUGCAUAGUGACCGCGGUCACCGGCAUCAUUGGCCUACUGCUCCUCAAGCGAAACUCUGACCUCCACUUCUUUGCUGUACCCACAUUAGUCAUCUGUAUCUACUCGUUCUUCAUUGCACACUGUAUCCUUUCUCUUUACGAGAUGGUAGUCGAUUCACUGUUCCUGUGCGUUUGUGAAGAUCGCAAUAUGAAUGGUGACGACGGCAGAUGGAAGAACUCUCGUUUGGCGGAACUCGGCGGACAUAAAGGGAACAAAUAUGACGAACAAGAUGGCGCCGAGCUGCAGGACGUGCCAGACAAGUACUAACUCGACGCCUGUUGUCCUUGGGGCUUUGCAUGUCCUAUCAGUGCCUUAUUGUGGAUGCUGGCUGCAGACUAUGUAAAUGGCAGUUGAAUUAGAAAUAAGAAGAAUCUUUUACGCUUUUACUUAGACUCAGUAUUUGCAUUUUUAUUAUUUAUAAUUAAUAAUUAAUAUUUUAUAAGCACAUUGACACCGUGAUUUGACAGCACAUUAUUUGUGUGGAUCACCUUUUGUGACUAUUAAAAACUUUCAUAUUAAUGUUCGGUGCAAUGCUAGUAGAUAUGAUAAGCUAUUUUGGCAUAAUAUUUUUCUAAUACUAAAUAUAGAUUAUAAAUACGUACUAUUAUAUAAAAUAUGUGUUUUAUGAAUGUUUACAUGAAUUUUAGAAAAGUUUAUAAAGUGCUACAAAUAUUAUUUUUGUGUAUCUAAUGUUGCGAACUACAUAUUUAUGUCUUGAUAUUUUAUUAUGCAUAAUAAUUAUAGGCGGAUCAAUCAUAUUAUCGACGCAGAUUUUAGAAGAGUGUUAAUGUUUAAUAAAUCGAUAUUUUGUUCGUAAAUGUAAGAAUCUCGAAGUACACAGUACUUACACUUUUGAGUGUAAAUUUUAGCACAAAUGAUUUGGAUAGCACAAACUAAAUAAGAGUUUCACUUCAAUGUAUGUUAGUUGGACUUUGCAUUCCAGUGCUUAGAUCUUACUGUAAUGUGUUGCAUUUUUUAUUUAUUAAUUUUGACUAUUGUCUUGGAAUCAAUUAAUUUAUUGCUUUUUUAUACAUGUUUUGCAACUAAGGCUAAUAUAAAGUACAAUUUUUGAUAUUAUAUUUUUCUAGUACCUAGUAAGUAAUAAUGUUACGUUUUUAACAAUACUUUAUAAUGGCAGAUACAUUUAUAAUGAAUGGUAUAAUCAUGUUGCGACAGAUAAUUAUGUUAAAUGCAUAGUUUUAUUACAUUCAGAUUUUACAGAUUUUUUUAAUAGGGUGCUCAAUUUUUUAUCAACUUUUAUCAUAGUAUUUUAGCAUAAUUUGACUAGUUUCAUGUUUUUGAAAUGAAUUUAACCGUCCAUUAUUUAAAACACUAAUUCUCCAAUCCAGCAUAAUCAUUUUACAUAAUAAGAGAUUAUAAUGUGUAUUUAGUGAAUCUCUUGCAAGGUCUUUGUAUGUACAUUACAUGCUGUUUGCACAACAAUAUGUAUUUAGAAAAUAGGUAAGUAGUGUUGUCUCGAAUUUCAGAAGAUCUAAUCAAACGACGAAAGCCAUACCCUUGAUUGUAUGCCAUAAUUAUACUAAAUUUAUUUACCAAUCUUGUUCUUCCGUAAUAGAAUGUAAGGAAUUCCGUUCUACCUAUCCAUUAUACAUACACAAAAUAAAAAUCAUUGUGUGGAAAAUAAAGUUUUAUUAUUAUGAUUUA